rnacentral:tRNA from 2 species
AUUUAUAUAGUUUAUAUAAAACCUUACAUUUUCAUUGUAAAAAAAGAUUUGUCUUAUAAAUA